CCCUCAACUAGGCUUGGACUUGGAACUUGCUGCUCCCUUUCUCUCCUACUCUCAGGAUGCAUAUCCGAGAUCCGUGACUAGGAAAUCAUCUCAGUACCUGUGGGCAGCAUACAGAGGUCGCAUUCUCAGUAGCUGGAGCCAGAGGACCGGGAAAGCGGCAGCCUAGCAAGACAGAGCUUAGAGACAACCACCCGACUCCAGCUAAACGCCUGGGGACUAGGCCCACCCUGACCUGGUCGGCAAAGGCACCUCGAACAGCACAGCUUGCUCUUCCUCGAAUAGAGAGGCUACCAACCCACUCUCCACCAAAUUCCAGAUCAGUAGUGGCAUCAUGAUGUGUCCCAGGGACUAUCCAAGGACAAAGAACAGGCCUGCUACUCUAAGCUAGGCCUGCCAAGGAGCAAAAUUUAACCUGUAUUCCUAUGUUGUUCAACCAUCUUCCUGAACCCUAAUACUUGCAGAAUAUUGUGCCACUUCCUGCUAAUCUCCAUGGUUUUGGG